CCAGGGUACACAUUUGUCCUGCCCAGCAUCAUCAACUCGGUUUUGAUAACAAAAGGGGCCAAGUUCUUUACUUAUACUAUCCGCAUUCCACUGGAGUACUUACCCAGUAGCACUUCCUUCACCCUGUUCAACGGUCUCCAAGCAGGACCCAUCUGGGAAUUAAUACAUACUGGCCAGUCGCAUAAAAGAAAUACGCCAACCAUGUCUGCGCGUCUCGAGGACAAAGUUGCUGUCAUCACCGGCAGCUCAAAUGGGAUCGGGAGGGCCAUUGCGCUCAGAUAUGCUGCUGAGGGUGCCUAUGUUGUGUGCGCAGAUAUUGAUCCUGCGGCUAGAGGCGAUGACAACCGACCCACCCACGAAGCUAUCAAUGAGACCUAUCCUGUCACUCCGGGCGGCAAGACCACAACCCGUGCUGUAUUCGUCAAAGCGGACGCCUCUGUUUCUGAUGAUGUAGAAAACCUGAUUGCGGGGUGUGUUGAAGCGUUUGGAAGACUGGAUAUGUAGGUCUUCCUUCACCAAUUGAGCCCCAACCUUCUGUUUCUGUAGCAUCCCCAACAUUCAUUACCCUCCCUUAUAUAUAUAUAUUUUGCUUGCUCUGGUGGCAAGGUGAAACAAAGGGAAGACGAAAAGAAAAGCCGGUGAACAGCACCUUGACAAAAUGAAACAAUCGAAUAUAUACAAUAAAUAUAGAAUCGUCAACAACGCUGGGAUAUCCCCCGCAGGCCACCAGCGGCCUGGAGACCGUAUCCACGAGACACCCGAGGAGUCCUGGGAUAGAGUCAUGGGGCUCAACGGGAAGGGGGUUUGGCUUGGAUGCAAAUUCGCCACGAAGCAGAUGCUUGCCCAGAAUCCCCACUCAAGCGGUGAUAGGGGCUGGAUCAUCAACAUGGCCUCCAUCUACGGGAACGUUGGUGGACCCGGAUCAAGCACAUACACAGCAUCCAAGCACGCGGUAGUUGGUAUCACAAAGUCUGUGGCUUUAGAAUAUGGGGGCGAUAAAAUUCAUGUAAACGCCCUCGCCCCAGGAUGGGUAGAGACAAGCCUGAGCGAGACGUUCGCUGACGCGAACAGCGACAACCCGCGCAAAAGGGCAUUCCAUGCCCACCUGGUCUCCCAGCAUCCGUUCGAUUCGCGGUUAGGUAGAACAGAGGAUAUCACUGGUGCAGCGGUGUUUUUGGCAUCGAAGGACGCCUCCUGGGUGACGGGGACGACGUUGGCGGUUGACGGCGGCUAUGUAGCGCAUUGAGAGGGUUGAAUGGAGGACGUGGAAUGGGAUGCGAUGCGAUGGAUGGGUGUAUAUGUGGUGGUGCGACAGCUAUCAGUGGAGCAGACCCCGUCAUUGCAUUAUUGAUAUCAACGCCAGAAACAAUAUAUAUAACCAAAUGAAUGGCGAUUCAAUCCAAGUGGAUGAAUUGGCUGGUAGAAUGAUUUGAUCGGUUUUGUGAUAGCUUGGUGUGACGUGCAAGUCGAAAUUCAAACCAAACGAAAGCAUAUGAAUACAACUGCAAAAAUAAUCAUUAAGGGAAAGUCACCGGAAAUAUGAAGAUGGCUGUAUGCAUGUAUCUUAUAUUAUGCGUAUUCAAUUCACCUGUAAUUUUUCCAAUUCAAAAAUAUAUAAUAAAAUAUGCACAAGUAAACCGGGAUCAUCACAUGGACAUGUAUAGUGUGCAUACAAUGCAUGCGAAAUAUCACAGUUCAAACUGAAGAACAGAGGAGAAAAAGAUCAAAACAUAGGUCAUCUCAGUCAUGUCGGGUGCUCAUGUUUGCCUGGAAGAAAAUGAUCGACGCAUAUAUACAUCCCAUGGAAGGUGAUAUGAGAGUAUUCAAGCGAGUUCCUGAAAAGAAAAUAGUGCUUAGAUGGAGAGGUCGUUCUCUUUACUUCUGUUUUGUUUUUUUUCUUUUCCUUUCUUUUUUUUUGUGGCUAAAGUAAGUUCCUGGCUGCGUGAAGUCAAAAAUGGAUAACAAAAAUGAAUAAUAAGGUUGGAGUUAAAAAGCAAAAAUUUAAAAUGGGAGACAGGGGUGGAAUUGUUGUUUCAGAAUAAGAGGUCGAUCCGAAGAACAACACCAGUUCAUUACGAAGACGGGUUCGACAGUAAACCACUUUCUUCCUCUCCUGUCAAUGCUCUGUGGUUCAAAAGUAAUCGUGCAAGCCAAGGCCAACGAACCACAAUAGGCAAACCAACAACACGGGGAGCCUUUCCGAGGGAGAUAUAAAGGGGCCAACAGUAACUCAAAUCAUUAACUUAACCACGACUACUCGGCCGCAUUGAUUCGCCGCCAGACUGGCUCAUAAAGCGCAUAAGCCAGUCACUUUCCGAUUCACUAUCGCUAUCACCAAGUUCGUCUAGCAUACGGUCAAUCGCAUCGCCUGCUUCAUGUUCCCGUAGGCCGCUAGGCCCAUUUCUUGGAUGCGCAUCGCUCGAACUGUUGCUCGUGUCAUCGGCAAAACUGACCUUGCGAGCGGGACGGAUCGCAUUCGGGGUGUUAUGGCGGAUCCCCAGACCCAAACGACCCUCGAUAGGGGAGGACUGUUGGGAUGAGGGUCUGGGUAAGGAAGGCGAAGGAAGAGUAAGAUGCAUGCCGCGAUACUCAUUCUGUUGCGUUUGCUGGGAGCUUGGAUGAUACCCUGAAUUUUCAGGGCUUGACAUGAACAGUAAAGUUUCAAUAGCAUCCUUUUCCAUAAGCGCAUUUUGGGAUGGCGUUCUUUGUUUCGGAACUGGCCUCGUGGUGGUGGUGGAAGCUGUGAUGGAAGAUGGAGUCGCGGAUUGGCGAGAUAAUUGGGGUUGCGAAUCCGGCGAUGUGUCGAGAAUGGCCACAGUCGAAGUAGUCGUCUGGGUAGAUGAAACGGAAUAUCCCCCAUCUGCAAACGACUCAUUUCGAGGAUGGUAGUUCUGGUUCGCCGACGCGGUUUGUAAUAGGGUGUCAUUGGGAUUUGGUCGGCGACGCGUUGCAUUGCCGUUCCCAGAUACAAUAUCAGCGGGCGGAGCAAGGCGUGGUGGAUCAGAAUUUGCGAAGGCAACGGGGGGCGGAAUAUAUGUGCUAGCACGUCUAUUCGGUGAAGAGGAUUUGUUACGACGCGCAGAUGCGUUCGUUGGAGACAUAGAUGAUGUCAUGUGAGUGAAAUUAGGAUUCCGGAGCUUGGGCAAUCCAUUGUCUUGUAAAGUGCUACUAAUACUAUGUCGGCCUCGUGAGUGUGAAGCUCCUUUCGGAGAUCGGAAUGGGCUUUUGAACCCUAAUGGCAGGGGAGACUGCGACGCGGAUGAACAGCCAAAUCGUGGAGGGACUGCAUGUGUUUCUUCUAGCUGGCGGAUUGGCCAAUCUUUUUCGACUUUCGCUGCCGCGUAAGAUAAACGAGCGCGGAGUUGGGCGGAUAACUGGAGUAUCACCGAUUAGCACAAAGGAUACACGGGCCGGUAGGAGUAUUCUGCUGGUUGAGUAGAUAUUACCUCCGAAAUUCUGCUACUAUUUGAAUCGGUGCUCAUUGUCCCAGAUCGGCGAGUAGCCAUGACUGAUUCUGGACUUCGGAUAAAUAUUGGGGAUCCGGUUGAUUUCACCUCUCCACUAGCUGUCCUCUUUUGUCCUUGAGAAAUGUCGAUCACCGUGUUUCCCCCCGGCUGACCAUCAAUCGGCGAAUUUACAACGGUAUAUUUGAGAAGGCCAGACGAGCGCAGUGAUCCGAUAUCUACGCUCCGCGAAUGCGCAUGGGUAUGGGAGGCUAUGGGGGUUUUCGCUGGAGAGCGGGAGAAUGGGAUUUGGGGAUAGUCGUGGUUUGAGAGUCCGGAUAACGGUGUGGAUGGAGUGGCAUUCGUGUCAAUCACAUCCGCAAAGGAGGAAUGAGAGAGAGUGCUAGAGGACGUGUGAAGGCGAGGAAGGAUAUCGUUGCUCAUAGCCGAUAGCGCUGAAGACGUAUUGUUACUAUCGAUGGCAUUGAAAUUAGUAGAAUGGCCUGGCUCUGCCAUUUCCCUGUCGCCGCAGGAUGGGACGAUCGACGGAAAAUUACAAUCGCUGUUGUUAGGCAGGGGCCCGCCGUUGACGAGUCUCGAUGGUGAAGCCGGAGGUUGCGCAGGUGGCUGGUCCGAGUACAAGAACAAGGCUUGGCUUCCGAACAUGUCUUGGAGUAGUUCCCUGUGCUGGUGAUGGCCCACCCGGCUUGCGUGAGAAGGGCCAAAAGUAAUCGGUGGCCCCGGGAAUAUUGCGGGGGGUGCUGGUUGUUAUCGCAGAUAUUGCAGGUGGUGGUUUCUCGUUUGUUGUCUGCAGUCUGAUCGGCCGUCGCGUGGCUGGGGUUCAACAGCGAAAAAUUCGCUCCACUCCCACACAGCAACGUCACGCGAAAAGCAAACAGUCCGCUGCCUAACUAGAGGGCCUUAGGCCGGCAACGAUCUUUCUAACCCUUACUUGGGCUAUUUUGAGCCACGAUUAUGCGAUAAACUGGCGGUUUUGUAGCUCUCUGGCAGCCAGGUCGUGGAGGCUCCGAAAAUGAGAGUUAAUGGGUCGGUAAGCAGGCUGACCUCGUAGUAGCGUGUACGGCGACAACCCGAGUGAGUCCGGCCAUGGUCCCAGCAAUGAUAUCGUCGUCGACAGUGGAUCGUGCUUUGCUCUCCAUGAGCCUGACACUCUGCCCCGCGACGUCUCUUCAAAAGGCAAGUCUACCGAUCGUCUGGUGUCGCUGCAAAAAUGCAAACGACGAUGGGAUGCGGUCUCGACUUGCCGGAUCGAGACGCGUCGCGGCGCGGUCAUGUGCGCGAACAGCACGUGAUAUAAUUGGAUGGGAGGGAUAAAAGGAGAUAGGUAUAUAAGAAACAAAGGAGAAACAAAGGAGCAGGGAGAAAUGAUACGCUGAACUGCAUGUAUACAAGAGGUAUAUAUCUAAACCAAUUCCUAACAAUGCUGGUAUCUCAACCGUUGAUUUUGUAGCAAAGAUGAAGAAAACCAAUGUUCCGGCCAAAAGGACUUGAAUAAUGCAGCUGCCGUAGAGGGCCACCAUAUAAAACGCCUCCAGAUAUUAAGUACGAGGACUACUAUUUUCAUGAUGAGACUGAAAUCAACACAUACUCAAAUCCAUCACCUUCUUUUCUUCCCUCCUCUUCCUCCGUCUCCGCCAUCGUUCUUCCGCUUCUUCCCCUCUCGCUGCCAAUAUUCAUCGCGCUCCCUCUUUUCCCUCUCCUGUUUUUUCUCGGCAUUCUCCGCCACCUUGGCACGGUAAACCUUCCUCCGCUCUUCCUGCGCCGCUUGUCUCUUCGCUAUCUUCUCGUUCCGCAUGGUGGUGAGUUUCUGCAACAGAUCGCGGGCUUUUUUCUCUUCACCACCUAAGACCACAGCACGUUUUUGGAGAUAUGAUUGACCUUGACGAGGUCUCAUCUUCGUAAUUUGAGACUUGAAGGGAAGGUCCGCAGCCAGCUGGCGAGGGACUCGGAGGGGAUUGAAAUGUCGAGUGGCCCGCUCAAUCGGCCUGUAUGCAGAGUCCUUCUCAAGUGGCGUUGGGAUGUUUUGCUCACGGCGAACUUCUCCCGUCAAGCGCAUGCCUUUCCAACCAUCUUCAUCUGUUUCAUCCAAAAGGUUGGUGACGGGGUUGUAGUAUCGGUGUGGUUUGACGGGAUACCAAGCACGCAAGAACACGAUGUCGCUCAUGAGGAUUUUAUCUUCAAACGUAGCCCGGAAAUGCCCCUCCGGACGGCUCAGAGCGCGCUUUAUCUGGCCGCGGAUCCCUGAAACGGUACGGAUGCUGGCGCCUUCGAACUUGGCAAUUUCGAGAGCAGAGGUAAACAUAUCCUUGAUGAAGGCUGUGUUUCGGAAGAUCUUGUACGGGUAUCCGGUUAGUUUGAGUUUCUUGACAAUCUCCGUAGUCUCGUCCACAUUCAGAACGACACCGGUAGCCGCUAUUCGGAAGCCCGGGUUCUUAUUCGAAAAUGAUUGGACGCAGCAAAAGCCUGUGUUGGGAGCCACAAGAGGACCAUAGAAAGUGCCAAAACAAUGCAUAUGUUCCGGGGUAUAUUUUAACAUGCGAUUACGUGUUCGGGAAUCGGAGAUGCUGUAGACUGGAGUGGUCUGGAAUCGACGCCAGCCAAGAGAGAAGAUGAGAGGGUCGUUGGUCUUGAGGAUUUUCUUAUGCCACCGGUGUCUUUUAAUUCUGACUUGGACAAAGCCAAAUCGAUCUUCUGUAGGCGCCAGGCCACCAACAAUAACUGGGAAACGAGGGUUAAAUCUUGUCGAGAACUCGCACGGCACGUUUUCUAGCACAAUUCUGGCGUACGUCCCAGCUUUGUAUCCUUCAGCUCUGGCUCUGGAGAGUGCAUCUAGGGCAUCAAAUUCCGCUCGGUUGAUAUCAAGCUGCUUUUGGAGUUUGGCCUUUUGCUCGUCAUACCAAUCAUCUUCGCCAAACUGCUCCUCAUCCUGCCUCUCCCCUCCAUCUUUUGCGUUCGCAAAACCUUCGCGAUCCUCUUCUUCGAAACGAAGUCUUAGCUCCUCCUUUUUCUUAGCAUUUCUUUCUCUCUCCGCUUCAAGAUCUUCAGGCUCGACUCUCUUGCUAUUCUCUUUCUCUUCCUCUUCUUCCCCACCAACAACCUCUCCGGUUUCCAGGUCCUCGAACGCACCGUCUCCCUCAUCAUCGGAACCAUCAGUGCCAAAAUCUCCAUCUCUGUCGCCGUCUUCACCACCAUCCUCAUCACCUGAUCCGUCACCCUUGGAAACUUUAGCACGGGCAAACCGACGCCGGAUAGUUUGGAUAUUGUCAUCGUCUUCCCAUUUUUUCUCAAGUUGCUUGUAGUCAUACACUGGAAUAGUCCUGUCUUCUGUUUCCCCUGUUUCCACGCGAGUUUUCUUAAAAAAGUCGUCUUCUUCGUUGGCACCAUCAUUGCCUUCACCAGACUCAUCAGCAUCCUUCCCAGUCCAUCGUUUUACAACAUCCCGAGGGGCUAUUGACUCGUCAUAGAGCAUCCUUGUGAGGUCAGCAACACGGUAGGGAAUUCUUUUUCCAAAAGCCGCCUUGGCAUUCGCAGCCAGAUUUUCUUUCCAGCGUAAGGUUCCAUCAUCAACCUCGUCUGAAUCGUACUCGAAAUCUCCUUCGCUUUCCAGUUCCUGGCCCUCGGCCGAGGAUAUUGAUCCAAGAUCAGAAUCACUGUCUGCAAAGGCGAUGUCAUCCUCGUCACGUUGAGCCGCACCAUUUUGUCUCUCUCUAAAAUUUGUCUCAAAAUCCGCCGGUGGCAUCACAUCCAUAUCCUCUCCAUCCUCUCCUUCUCCGUCUUCACUUCCCUCUGCGGAAUCAUCUGACUCAAAGCCUUCGUCUUCAUCCUCCAGGACGUUUGCCCCAUUUUCGUGAUCGACUGUGAAUCGGACCUUUCUUUUCUGCUUUCGCCCAACUUCCCCCGUUUCACCAUCGCCUACAUGAGCAACUGCCUCUCCAUCCCUGAACAGCCUGACCCCCGAUUCUGCCUGUCCUAGUAACUUUCGUUCACCUUGCAAUCCAACAACAAGUUGCUCUCCCAGGCCCCUCUCUUCAUCGCUGUCUGCGUCCCUGUCAAAAGUAGAUGUUUUAACAUCGAUGUAAACCGCAUCUUUAUCAACGAGGACGCCGCCAACAUCAGACAUGGGAGCAAACAAGAGUUUUUGUUUCUCCCCCAGCCUUCUUCGGCCUGAUUUUCCAGUUGCCUUUGCCAUUGCUUGGUCCAUGAAAGGUGUCGGACACGGGUCAGGGAGUGCCUCUAUCGACGAAACGCUGAGAUCCCCAACACCAGGCACAUGCACCCUGGCGCCAAUUGCAGGAAAAUUUGUGCCUCGAAGAUAUCCGUAUAGAGCAACUGUCCUAUCACAUUUGGGAUUCUCUUCAAUAGCCGUCGGGGGUGUGAUGUCCAGGAAUCGAUCAGCCAAACAAUAAGGAUGGGAGUUUCUCCAUAUAAGCGGUCGGGGGUUUUUCAUGACAGACAGAAAUCGCGACAGAUUGUGUAUCUCUCGAUCCGGGUACCUCCCAUUGAUAACGCCGGACAGGUAGAACAACUUCGCCCCCUGGUAUAAUUCACUCCAGAACCGAUGUUUUAACCGUUUCUUCGCUUGACGUAGAGUGCUCUGUUUCUUGAAGAGGUCGAGAUGGGUGAGGAUCCCGAAGACGUUUCCCGGCAUGCCGCUUGAAGACAGCGCAUUGAGAAAUUCCAUAGUCUCCAUUUCAAACCCAUAAUUGCCAUCAAUCAUAAGUAGAACAAUAUCCGCGAUCUUGGCGACAUCGAUCAUGCUCGCGAGGGAGUCGGAGGGGCAUUCGAGAAAUGUUAAGCGUCUUCGUUUCGAGGUUACGACAGUGAGAGGCCCAGCGGGAGUGCUUAACCUCUGUUUCGUGUAACGCUUAAUGAGGGAUUUGAUGAGGGUUGUUUUGCCAACCUAAUGUAGAAAGAAGCGAAAUCGGGGGUUGGGACAUUAGCAUCCUAAUCGCAAGCGAAAUCCAGUCCAUUUCAAGAGCCACAGGUACAUACCCCCGGAGGCCCAACCACCGUAACAACAAUCGGAGGCGCCUCUUCGGGCAAGCGAUCCACAAGAGGGACAUGAAGUCUCUUUUCUUUGAUCUAUGUUGACGACGGUGCUGUUAGUUGGAAAGAAGCACCAGCAUGUACCAGGAAAGAAUUCGGGAAAACGAACAUCAUGAGACCUGGCGGCUUGCUUUUGCAGACGACCGGCAUGCGCUACAGCAAAUGCCUUGGGAUUUGCACCUGUUCGACAAAAUAAAAGGUUAGAUCAAAGCUCCGCAAAAGUCGCAAGCAAACGUCAAAAUAUCACGGGGGGGUGAAAAAACCUUACCAGCUUGAUCCCUAUUUUUCUUCUUCUUCUCCUUCGAUUUCCGAUGUGGUCUGUUUGUCUGGUCCUCCAUCUUGAAAAAGAAAAAGCAAGAGCAAGCUCCCGCCUUGCUCUUUCAAGAUAAACGAAGGGCUUGAAAACCGAGCUGUUUGCGAUUUCUAAAAAUUCGGUUUUUGGACAAAAAAAUGAUUGAGUUUAUCCGAGCGGGCUAUAUUGUGAUUGGUUGAAAGAAGCGUCUUACUAAGAUAGUCAAUUUGUCCGCCAAGUAGCUAUGUUUGUAAAGUUUUUUACUUCCUUCAAACCUUCAGGCAGUGCACCACUAGACAGGAUGCAGCAAGAUAUGUUAUUCAUGUAAUAUGAUGUAUGGUUCCUGUGGCUUGUAUUGCUAUUCCUCACAAACUAGUUGAAGUGGAGAACAGAAAUGAUGAAGUUCAGGCUAUUGUAUAGUCAAUCAAGUCCAGAUUGCUGGAGCACUCAAGCACUGAAAUUGAAAGAAUACCUGUGCGCGAUCAUUUUCCUUUCGAUGACCAUGAUGAAGACCUUUAGCUUAGGGGUACUGAGGGACUCCGGCGGACAAAACCUAUGUUAAUAUACAGUGCACAAUAGUCUACAUCAAAAAGCACAAUACAGACC
rnacentral:sRNA from 2 species